ensembl:snRNA U6 U6 spliceosomal RNA
GUGCUCUCUUUGGCAGCACAUAUUCUAAAAUUAGAAUGAUACAGAGAUUAGCAUGGCUCCUGCUCAAGGAUGAUACACAAAUUCAUGAAGCAUUCCAUAUUUUU